rnacentral:lncRNA from 1 species
AUUUUUUCAUCAUUCAAAAAUACAUUCACUGUUAGCAUUCCUUAAGUUAUUUCGGAUUAAACUCGGAUUAAAUUUAUACCAGAGUUUAAAAAAAUUAAAAUACCUAUUUUGUCCCUGACUUAAGGACAAAUGAGAAAAAUUGGUAAUGAUAAAAUAGUAUAUUUGAAAUGAAAAAAAGUUAAAAUAACUCGUUUUGUCUUUAACUUAAGAGCAAAUAAGAAAAACUAGUAAUUAUAAAAAAAUAUAUUUGAAAAGACAAAAUAAAAUUUUAUAGAAAUAAUGAUUGUUCCUAAUAGUUUACUAAUAGAUUUAACUCUCGGGGUAUAUUUGAAAGAGUUAGGAAAAUGUUAAAAGGGUUUUUAAUAUUAGCAUGCAUGUAAAGAGGAGUACGUAAAUAAGAAAAUAAAAAAAAACUUAGUAAGGGUGUAUAUGCCCUUUUUUAGUAUUGGAAAAAUUAUAUUUUUGGUCCCCAAACUAUUUUGAUUUUUAAAUUUUAAUUUAUAAUAAAUUUUAAUUUAAAUUUUAAAAUUAUUAUAAUUAAGUUUUACAAUCAAAUUUAGUUGAUUAAAUAUUAAUAUAUUACUGAUAUGAAAGUAACAUGAUAUCUCUACUAUUGAUGUGUCAACAAUUACAACGUUGUCGCAUCACUUCUACAUUAAGGACUUGUUAGUAUUUAGUCUUGAUUACAAUAAUUUAGAAAAUGU